rnacentral:rRNA from 1 species
CUUGUAGGACCACCAGUGGCGAAGGCGUCAGACUGGAACGCGCCUGACGGUGAGGGACGAAAGCCAGGGGAGCGAACCGGAUUAGAUACCCGGGUAGUCCUGGCCGUAAACGAUGCAUACUAGGUGAUGGCACGGCCAUGAGCCAUGUCAGUGCCGUAGGGAAACCGUUAAGUGUGCCGCCUGGGAAGUACGGUCGCAAGGCUAAAACUUAAAGGAAUUGGCGGGGGAGCACCACAAGGGGUGAAGCCUGCGGUUCAAUUGGACUCAACGCCGGGAAACUUACCAGGGGAGACAGUAGGAUGAUGGUCAGGUUGACGACCUUACCUAACGAGCUGAGAGGAGGUGCAUGGCCGUCGCCAGUUCGUGCUGUGAGGUAUCCUGUUAAGUCAGGCAACGAACGAGAUCCGCACCUUUAUUUGCCACCAAGAAGUUACGACUUCGUUGGGAACACUAAAGGGACCGCCGUUCGAUAAGACGGAGGAAGGAGCGGGCAAAGGCAGGUCAGUAUGCCCCGAAACCCCUGGGCUACACGCGGGCUGCAAUGAUAUGAACAAUGGGCUGUGACUCCGAAAGGAGAAACCAAUCCCGAAAUCAUAUCACAGUGGGGAUUGUCGGCUGUAACCCGCUGACAUGAACGUGGAAUCCCUAGUAAUCGUGUGUCACCAUCGCACGGUGAAUACGUCUCU